rnacentral:rRNA from 1 species
AAUAGAUACCCAGGUAGUCCACGCCGUAAACGAUGAGUGCUAAGUGUUAGGGGGUUUCCGCCCCUUAGUGCUGCAGCUAACACAUUAAGCACUCCGCCUGGGGAGUACGGUCGCAAGACUGAAACUCAAAGGAAUUGACGGGGGCCCGCACAAGCGGUGGAGCAUGUGGUUUAAUUCGAAGCAACGCGAAGAACCUUACCAGGUCUUGACAUCCCAUUGACCACUAUGGAGACAUAGUUUUCCCUUCGGGGACAACGGUGACAGGUGGUGCAUGGUUGUCGUCAGCUCGUGUCGUGAGAUGUUGGGUUAAGUCCCGCAACGAGCGCAACCCUUGUUCUUAGUUGCCAUCAUUUAGUUGGGCACUCUAAGGAGACUGCCGGUGACAAACCGGAGGAAGGUGGGGAUGACGUCAAAUCAUCAUGCCCCUUAUGACCUGGGCUACACACGUGCUACAAUGGACGGUACAAACGGUUGCCAACCCGCGAGGGGGAGCUAAUCCGAUAAAACCGUUCUCAGUUCGGAUUGUAGGCUGCAACUCGCCUACAUGAACG